UGAACGAUAAAUAAAAAGCGGUCC
rnacentral:siRNA from 1 species